GUUUAUCUGAAUCAGGUGUGUUGGAGCACAUGCAGGCCAGUGUGAGGAGGGAAACACUGCUCCAGAAUAGAAGAGCACACUCUUCAUCAGCGAGAACCACUUACCACCAGCAUCCUCCGUUGUAGCUUCACAACAUUUGGGAUUGGAUUGCUGUUGAUCAACGACUUCUUGUAAAUGAAGUGGAGCUUGAUAGCGAUGCCGAGGUAGCAGCAGAUGAUGACGAUGGCCAGCGAGCAGGACAGUCCGAAGGGCUCCGGUCCGUACUGACCCCAGCCCAGGAUCGGGAACAGAGCCCACAUGAGCGCGUACAGCCAGCACCACAGGCACAGCACCUUCACCUGUUUCCAGCUCACGUUUUCCUCUGCACAGAUAAAAGGAAAAGUAAUUGGUUUUCACCGCUGUUCUUUUAAACAUGCUCUGCAUCAUUCACACAGAUAGAGAGUCUUUAUUAAAGCACUUCACACCCAAAGUGACAUCUACUUUGUCACUGACAGAGAGAAUGAAUGCAAACCUGCUUAUACAAUAGAGGGCUUAUUAUUGCACGGAAUAAUUGCAAGCAUGCAAAUACAUUUAUUAAGCACAGAAUAUACUUUUGUUUGCUCAAAUGAAAUUAUGUUUUGCUUCUCUUCAAAAUAUUAUUUCUGUGCUUGCAAAAUAUAUUUUUCCGUGCUCAAAGUCUCACAUUGUUCCUUCACGAAUGUGGCCCAAAUAGGACGCCAUAUCAAACUGACUUACAUAAAAGUGAUGAGACGUUAGAGAUGAAGAUGAGUAACAAACACCAUAUCUUGAAGGUUCUGUGAGAAGAGAUAACUGGCAGAACUUGAAUCGCAUACUCGUUUGUUUGUAUAAUUACUUUAAGCUUCCAUAGCCCUUAGAAUAUAUAUAUAUAGAUUGUAGAUCACUCUGCUUGUUUUACCUUAUUCUUCUUAUGUCCAUAUGGACACCCAGAGGGUCUUUCACACUUUAAUUUGAAGUUCUUACAUGUUAAUCACAUCUUAUGUACAUAAAGUAUUGUGCACAAUGUAAGCCAAGUCAGGGAUUAACAUGCAAACAGCCCAUCUGAUGGGAUUUUGUACGUUUAUAUGUGCAGGCAUUUUAUAUGCAGAUAUCCAAGCUGUGCGUAGCCUUUACUGGAUGUGCAUCUGUGUGUUGCUUUUAAUGUUUUCAAUGUGCUUCUAGCAAUUUGCAAGUGGUUGGACCUAUAACUGUUGAACAUGGCUAAACCCACUUGUCACUACAUAUUCUAGGCUGAACCUGUCCGCUUAAUUACAGAGAUGCCCUUAUGUUUUAGUUUUUUGCAUUUUCUCCAUUCUCCAUGCAUUCUCCAUGUUUCCCCUCUUUAAACAUGACUUAUUCCAGGUUAUAACAAUGUAGUGUGUAAUUACAAUAUGUAAAAUUGUAUGUUUUAAUAACCAACAAAGUCUCUUUUCUAUAAAGUGGUACGAUUUAUAUCGUAAUAAACAUA